GUUCACUUCAGCAGCACAUGUGCCAGAGUUGGAAUGAUACAGAAAAAAAUUAGCAUCACCCCUGUGCAAGGAAGGCAUGCAAAUUUGUGAAGUGUUCCAUACUAAA